UGGGGAAUCUUGGACAAUGGGGGCAACCCUGAUCCAGCCAUGCCGCGUGAGUGAUGAAGGCCUUAGGGUCGUAAAGCUCUUUCGCCUGUGAAGAUAAUGACGGUAGCAGGUAAAGAAACCCCGGCUAACUCCGUGCCAGCAGCCGCGGUAAUACGGAGGGGGUUAGCGUUGUUCGGAAUUACUGGGCGUAAAGCGCACGUAGGCGGACCAGAAAGUUGGGGGUGAAAUCCCGGGGGCUCAACCCCGGAACUGCCUCCAAAACUAUUGGUCUAGAGUUCGAGAGAGGUGAGUGGAAUUCCAAGUGUAGAGGUGAAAUUCGUAGAUAUUUGGAGGAACACCAGUGGCGAAGGCGGCUCACUGGCUCGAUACUGACGCUGAGGUGCGAAAGUGUGGGGAGCAAACAGGAUUAGAUACCCUGGUAGUCCACACCGUAAAACGAUGAAUGCCAGUCGUCGGGUAGCAUGCUAUUCGGUGACACACCUAACGGAUUAAGCAUUCCGGCCUGGGGAGUACGGUCGCAAGAUU
rnacentral:rRNA from 1 species